CAAUCGCCAAGGCGGUGUUGCCAUUCUGAAGAGAGUGCAAUGAAAGAGAGAAAGAGGGAGAACUGAGAGGGAGGACCGCGCUGCGAGCCAAUGAGCUCACCGGCUGCUCCGCCUGAGCCAGCAUUUCCUUCCAAACCAGGCACAGCUUAGGAAAAUCACUAGUUUUUACCAUUACAUCUGAAUCUCUUUGUAACUUCUUUAGACUAUGGCCCGGGUCACCAUGGUAACACAACAAGCUGCAUCUGCCUGCUCUUCUAAUAAGAAGCACUUGACGCUUUAACCCUGAGGUUGUCAAACAUUCUCUACAAGAUACUGCACUGUGUUUAGGAAAGGACCCCGUGAACUGCGGACGCUGCCUCCGAAAAUGAUUUAGCCAGAACCGAGUACCGUUACUCCCCGUCAGAGGUCAGGCCAUCUGCUGCAGGAAACAGUGCAGAUGGUUCAGGGACUUGCAUCCAGGACUUCAAGAUGAAAUGGAACUCCAGCAAGAAGCAAAUGGGAAGACCGGAAACGAAGGCCAAAAAUGUAUUAUUUGACCAUUUUCUGGAAAACAGAGAUUAAGAGGAAUUAAAGUGGUUCUCCAGGAUUGUUCAAGAUCACCAGGCUAUUAAAACAAGACUUGAAUUCAGGCAUUGGAUUCCAAAGACACUCAUUGGCCUAUACAUCCUACAGAAAUAGACACAGUAAGUUGGCCACUGAGAAAACUAACAGAAUGGGGUGACUCUCAAUAGGAAAGAAGAGGGAAAGCACUUUAGAAGAUACAACUGUCUUCUGAAACACAACAAAGAAGAAAAUAGACAAAUGGGGAAAAUUAAAUUACAAAGAUAAAUGAAGAACAAAACAACAAUAAAAGAACCAAAGAACCUAAUAGCUAUCAUGAACAUCUGUUGCUUCUGGGUUUCCCUUCUUGCACUUCUGCCUAAUACAAUUUGAUAGAGUCCGUGACAAACGAGGAACUUACCCAGACAUCCAGUAUACCCUGAAGUUUAACUUCAUAGUCGAUCUGGCAUAACUUAAACUGCUUUAGGUGAUACGAAGUUGUCUUUUAUCCAUCAAACCUAAAAUCUGUCAUCAUCAUUUUUGACUAUAUAAUUACAACUUGAUCCCAUUUUAAGGAGAAACUCCUUAACGACCAGGUCAACACAGUGCAAAGAAAAUCAUGUCAUUUGUACCAUACGUAAGUCAUUCCUUUUCAGAAUUCAAAAUUUACUUCUGAAAUAAAGUAUUUCACAUUGGAUUUGUCUUUGCGUUAUAAGGCUGGACAAUGACUGUUUACAGAAGGAAUUUGAUUUGCCCAGGAUGUCCCUCUAUUAUUAAUGAGCAUAUUCGAUUAUAGACAGUUAUUUGAGAGAACUACCAAGAGAUGAGUAAAGCAUCUGUUAACAGUGUCAUUUGUUGAGGUGGGCAGCACUGGGUAUCAGGUUAUUCCUCAAGUAUCUUCGUCCCCCAACAAGAUACGACACACUGACCAGGAAAUGGCAGCUUAAGCUGUAGCAUGGAGGAUGAUGAUUAGAUGAAAGAAAUUUUGUCAUUGAGAAGCCUGUUAAUUACUGCCUAUAAGAGAGAAGGUUUUUGUUUUAAUCAACAUAUUUUAAAACCCCAUGUAGUUCUGAAGAAGGCAGGGGUUCAUUCUUCCAAAUAAUUUUAGGGUUAUAAACAAAACAAGACAUUGGAACCGAAAUGAUUACUUCUAGUCACCAUAACCAUUCUAGAAAAUAAAGCCUAUUUCAACCAAGUAAAGUAAACCAUUCCAUAUAAGCUAAAUUGAUCUUGAAGUUGGUUGUGGUAAUUGGAUACUUUUGACUAAUUCCAGUAAACAGUUUCUUCUGAUUCCUUGCACAACUUGAGUUUGGUACAUAGCUCACAGUUCAUUUUUUCCUGGUAUCUGAGACCCAUUCCUUAUGAAGUUAUGAAAAAUUCAUUUCAAAUGAUUUGAUUUUGAAAGCAUUACACUGGAUGUCUACUCUAAUUUUUUUUUUCCUUUUUGUUGAUAAUUCAUUUAUCCUCUAAUGGCCUUGUAUAAUGGUGACAUGUUUUGACUUUUGCAGAGUAAAUGUAUCUGGAGUGUGUUGGCUUAUAAAAUCACAUUAUUGGAAUACCAAUAUUUGUCUUCAAACUUUGGGUAUAUGGCAAGAUUUUUUCCUCUUUGGACAACCAUGAUUUCUAAUUUGUUUUCUGUAUCACUUAAAACCUGUCUCUAAAUAGAUGAAGGUAAGGUCUAACUACUCAACAACAAAAAGCCCUCACAUUCUUACUUUAAGUCUUAUAAAAGUAUAGCAAUUUUACUAAAUUUUACAAGAAAUAAAGACAAAAAUAAGUUUCUUUACAAGAAGUUAAGUCAAAGACGUAUCAUGAGUUAAUGAGAGAUUCAUAUGUUUAGUUUACAAGUCAAACUUUAUCAAUAAUUGGUUUCAGAAUGUAAAAUGUUUCUAAUACUUCCAAUAUUAGUCUUAAUAUUUCCAAUAUCCUUAUUAUACACUUGGAAUGAGUUAUUCUUAUGCUAUUUAUACAUUUGAAAUCAAUGAAUUAGAUAUAAAACCUAAAAUAUUAAACAUUAUAGUCAAAGAAAAGUUAUAUAUAUAUCUGUAUAUACAUACACACAUGUCUCUCCGAUUUAAAGCAAUGGUUCUGUUCAAAAUUAUUUAAUGACUUUGGGGUAAUUGAUUUUCAUUAUAAGUUGUCCUUACCCUUUUAUAUUACUCUUUUUUAUAUAUAACUACAUAUAAAAAAUAAA